AGAAGGUUUGCUGGGGAAAGACACUACUGGCUAGCUGGAAACAGCAAAAUAUGUUUGAAAAGGUAAGGACUUCGUAAAUAAAAAGUCAAGGAGAUGAAAUAAGAGAAAGCAAAAUCACACUCUCCCAUGUUGUAUUCACAUUGAUCCAAAAGAGCUAUGGGAAAAUUAGAAAUGUGAAAACUCAACAACUGCAAACCAGCAGGGAAGAUAUUAAAAACACUUUAUUUCCGGCAUUCUUCAUCUAUAUUAAUGAUCAGGGCAAUUUUGAACACACCAGGGCUCCUCAAGAAGCUGACAACAUGCCACAAACAUCCAUUGCUCUACAAGAGAUGCACCACGGGCCAGUAAAAACUGCAAGUUUAAGGUCUGGCGUUCCUCAGGAGUUGCUGGAAACAAGAUAGGAGCACUUAAUCCUAUCAGGAAGCUGGAAAUCUCACUUCCAAAAGAGCCAUUUUUACACCCAGACUGCUGUAGGAAAACUUUGAUAAAACACUUGACUGUGGCUGACAGCUAGAUGAGCUCCCUUAGCCAUAACAACAUUUAUAGUGUUGUUUUUUUUCCCAAGACGAGGAUUGGAAGAUACCGGUGCAUCAGAUACUCAGCCCACUGCAAACAAAGCAAUCUUUAGCAGAUGUUUAGAAUACUCAAAGCCUACCUGGAAGUUUAUCACACAUUAACUAACUCAAACCUCGUUCAGGCUGGAUGGCUGGAAAGGAAGGGAAGAUACCAAUGAUGGCUGAGCUAUCGUAGAAUGGCAUGGGUUGGAAGGGACCUUAAAUAUCAUCUAGUUCCAAACACCCUGGCCUGGGCAGGGAUAUCACCCAGGGAUUGCUCAGAGCCCCAUCCAACCUGACCUUGCACACUUCCAGGGAUGGUGCAUCCACAGCUUCUCUGAGCAACUUGUUCCAGUGCCUCAGCAACGUCACAGUAAAGAAUUUCCUCCUUUCAUCCAGUCUAAAUCUCUUCUCUUUUAGUUUAAGUAAUUUACCCUUGUUCUAUUACCAUCUGCCCAUAAAAAAAGUUCCUCUCCCUCUCUUUUAAAAGCCCUUGAUAAGUACUGGAAAGCCACAAUGAGGUCUCCCCACAUCCACCUCUUCUCCCAGCUCUCUCAGCCUGUCUUCGUAAGAGAGGUGCUCCAGCCCCCCGAUCAUCUCCGUGCCCCUCCUCUGGGCCUGCUCUAAGAGGUGUACCUCUCAUGCUGAACACUCCACACCUGGAUCCUGCACUCCUUAUGGGGUCUCACGAGGGCAGAGCUGAGGGGCAGAGUCACCACCUCAGCCAGACAGCUGCUUUUCCUCCUUGUUUAUCAAACUGUUCACUCCUGCCCAAAGGGUCAGUCCCAAUGGUUCCAGCACAUCUCACUGGACCUAAGAUAAUUUAACUCCCCAAAUGACUUUUUUUGCUCAGAAUUGCUUUUCUGCCACCUUAGCAAAGAAGAUCAGCCAUCAAGGAAUCUGAAGUGUGCCAAAGCAAGUGCAAAGAGAGGUGUGGGGGGGAAAGGCGCUGAAUGAGUUGUUAGGUCAGCACAAGCCAUGACAGGUACCUUUGCCCUCAUUCCUGCUUUCAGUGUGACAUAAUAUUAAGAGUGCUGACAAAGGAGCUCUGUCAAGUCUUGUGGCUGCAGUUGGAGGAGGCAUCACACCAAAACACAGCUGCUCUGCCACGAGUUGAUACUUACUGCCAGAGCAGGCAAAUGAACAGUAGGUACAGCUGCUGAUGCCUCAGCUCUUUCUGUGUAAAGCUAAGCCCCCAAUGAAGGUGGAUGUAAGGCUCUGGACUUUGCACUUUUGAAGGGGCUGAGGCAGAAACUCACAUUCUCUUCUGUCAGCACUGAAGAGAGGUUGAAACUUGCAGCAAAGAGAUGGGAAGGGCAGGUGGGGUUAGUGACUUCUUAAGAAGCCAUGGCAAGGUGUGCUAGGACUGUGUGUCAUCCCUGUACAAACACUACCUGCCCCCUGGCCAGAAGGGCUGUAUAACCAUACUAACGUUGUCAGAAAACUACCUUCUGUAGGUAGAACUUCAAUUACUGUCUCCCUAGAUCAUGAGACAUCAGCUCUACAAAUCAUGCUAUGAGGUAUUAAGAGUACUGUUUUACAGUUUCUCACUGAUAUAAAGAAUACUCUUCCCUUCUUCCCUUUCUCUUGCUGGGGCCUAUGCAGUUCAGCCCUUGGCAUUGAAGAGGUCUGGUUUUCCAGCAGGAAAAAUCUGAAAACAAGACUGAAAAUGUUUAAAACUCUCUGCUCUGAAAAAGUUUGAAGCAGUUAAUCUGUAAAUUCUCUUGUCAAAAAAAUAGCAUUAGUGUAUAACAAAUAUCCAGGCUUGACUGAUACCAAUUAUUCUAAUCCUCUAAAACAAAUCUCCUUAAAAUCAUUCUGCCAGCAUGCUAAUGUCCUGUUUUACUCUACUGAACUCUAAUGUGUGCCAUACUGGCAGUGAAAGCAACAGAUAUGCAGGACUCAGAAGUUUUCAAAAUUAGACGAAACGGAAAAUAAGAAAACACAGAAUCAAUUUUAGAAGCGAAAAAGAUUUCAGCAUUGUAAGGAUAAACAGAGCUUUACGUGGCAGAAGGAUCGCUCACAUAUAAUUGAAUGAUGUAAGAUUUUUAAUUAAAAUGUGGUGACACCUUUUAUGCCUGUGAUACACAGCAGCAUAAACAAACCUUAUGCAUAUCCAAAAGUGCAGGUGACAUUGUGAAUUGCGUGAUUUCACACCUUCAUGCCUUCGUUUGUGUCCUGUGCAACACUUAUACUGUGCAUGCUCUGCGAUAGCUUUGUUUGGGGAACAGUGGAGUGGUAACAAGAAGUGUUAUGGAAGGUUCAAUGUUUGGUCCUGUUCCAGCUCUUUUAUUCUUCUGUAUGGUUCUCAUACACUAUAGUAUACACUGAGUAGUGCUUCGCCUUUUUGUUGACAAGCUCAUGGCUUGGCUUUGGGAUUAAUACAGUUGCAGCUCAGCAUCUCUCAACUCAGUGCUGGUUCCCUAAGGGGAAUGAGAGAGUUCUUGCAGUGUCUGUGGGCCAGGCAGGAAUUUGUCCUUUCUUGGUGAUGAUCACGUUGAUGCGUGAGAGAGGCUGUGAUUGCUCAGGUUACAAACUCAUUCCAGUAUAAUGAUGGAAGGAAAACUGUUUCUGGGUGCAGUCUGUAUGGAGGGAGAGUUUCUAACCUAAGCAACCACAGUCUCUAUCACACACCAUCAUUAUCAUCAUGCAAGGGGCAUUAUCAUCACCAAGGGACAAAGAGAUGAAGUAAAAUAGCACCGGUGAGUAAAAAUAAAUAAGAUCACUACUCUUGGGGUUUGUUCCCCCACAAGGUUUAUCUUCACAUGGAACAGUAAUGCAUCUCACUGCUACUGCAAAUGCUAGCAUGAAAAGCACAUCAUGGGAGAAAACACUUUGUCCACUAGAAAACCUGAUUUGCCAACAAAGGGCAGCGAAUGCCCUCCUGAGGAAGACAUGAUAUCAAUGCUGGAGGAAUAAAAGUAUUUACAGCUCUGUGAACAUCAUUCUGCAAGUGGAAUUGUGGACUCAGUUUUCUAAGACAAACCUCUAACUUGCUAAGGUGACUUUUUCUGAUGGAAAUCUGGCAUCUAACCCGUAAUUUCAAACUUUCAGGAGAGAAAUAAAGUUGUAAUGACCAACUGCUGCCAGAAGGCAUCCCUCUUAGCCCUUAACUUGUCAAAGUGGCAUCAUUACACUUGAGAGAAAGGCUAGAAGUUCAGCGUCUACAAAUACUUGAUUCUGGUACAGGCCUAUAUAUUUGCAUGUGUGUAUAAACAAGAAAAGGGGGAAAAUCAAAGGGUUUUGGCACAUAAUAGCUUUGACGUAAUAAAAAGGUGUGAACAGUACAAUAACGCAUCAACAAUAUUUCCUGAUGUAUUCAAAUUUGAUAACAUCAAGAUUUUGAAGUUGAACUAAUCUUGCAUCCCUUGCUGAUUAUGACAACUGCUCUUAACCUA